rnacentral:rRNA from 1 species
UACAGAGGGUGCAAGCGUUAAUCGGAAUUACUGGGCGUAAAGGGCGCGUAGGUGGUUAUUUAAGUCAGAUGUGAAAUCCCUGGGCUUAACCUAGGAAUUGCAUUUGAAACUAGAUGGCUAGAGUAUGGUAGAGGGAAGUGGAAUUUCCGGUGUAGCGGUGAAAUGCGUAGAUAUCGGAAGGAACACCAGUGGCGAAGGCGGCUCACUGGCCCGUUACUGACGCUGAGGCACGAAAGCGUGGGGAGCAAACAGG